GACGAACGCUGGCGGCGUGCCUAAUACAUGCAAGUAGAACGCUGAAGGAGGAGCUUGCUUCUCUGGAUGAGUUGCGAACGGGUGAGUAACGCGUAGGUAACCUGCCUGGUAGCGGGGGAUAACUAUUGGAAACGAUAGCUAAUACCGCAUAAGAGUAGAUGUUGCAUGACAUUUGCUUAAAAGGUGCAAUUGCAUCACUACCAGAUGGACCUGCGUUGUAUUAGCUAGUUGGUGGGGUAACGGCUCACCAAGGCGACGAUACAUAGCCGACCUGAGAGGGUGAUCGGCCACACUGGGACUGAGACACGGCCCAGACUCCUACGGGAGGCAGCAGUAGGGAAUCUUCGGCAAUGGACGGAAGUGUGACCGAGCAACGCCGCGUGAGUGAAGAAGGGUUUCGGAUCGUAAAGCUCUGUUGUAAGUGAAGAACGAGUGUGAGAGUGGAAAGUUCACACUGUGACGGUAUCUGACCAGAAAGGGACGGCUAACUACGUG
rnacentral:rRNA from 1 species